rnacentral:rRNA from 1 species
GAUGAACGCUGGCGGCGUGCCUAAUACAUGCAAGUCGAGCGAACGGACGAGAAGCUUGCUUCUCUGAUGUUAGCGGCGGACGGGUGAGUAACACGUGGAUAACCUACCUAUAAGACUGGGAUAACUUCGGGAAACCGGAGCUAAUACCGGAUAAUAUUUUGAACCGCAUGGUUCAAAAGUGAAAGACGGUCUUGCUGUCACUUAUAGAUGGAUCCGCGCUGCAUUAGCUAGUUGGUAAGGUAACGGCUUACCAAGGCAACGAUGCAUAGCCGACCUGAGAGGGUGAUCGGCCACACUGGAACUGAGACACGGUCCAGACUCCUACGGGAGGCAGCAGUAGGGAAUCUUCCGCAAUGGGCGAAAGCCUGACGGAGCAACGCCGCGUGAGUGAUGAAGGUCUUCGGAUCGUAAAACUCUGUUAUUAGGGAAGAACAUAUGUGUAAGUAACUGUGCACAUCUUGACGGUACCUAAUCAGAAAGCCACGGCUAACUACGUGCCAGCAGCCGCGGUAAUACGUAGGUGGCAAGCGUUAUCCGGAAUUAUUGGGCGUAAAGCGCGCGUAGGCGGUUUUUUAAGUCUGAUGUGAAAGCCCACGGCUCAACCGUGGAGGGUCAUUGGAAACUGGAAAACUUGAGUGCAGAAGAGGAAAGUGGAAUUCCAUGUGUAGCGGUGAAAUGCGCAGAGAUAUGGAGGAACACCAGUGGCGAAGGCGACUUUCUGGUCUGUAACUGACGCUGAUGUGCGAAAGCGUGGGGAUCAAACAGGAUUAGAUACCCUGGUAGUCCACGCCGUAAACGAUGAGUGCUAAGUGUUAGGGGGUUUCCGCCCCUUAGUGCUGCAGCUAACGCAUUAAGCACUCCGCCUGGGGAGUACGUCCGCAAGGUUGAAACUCAAAGGAAUUGACGGGGACCCGCACAAGCGGUGGAGCAUGUGGUUUAAUUCGAAGCAACGCGAAGAACCUUACCAAAUCUUGACAUCCUUUGACAACUCUAGAGAUAGAGCCUUCCCCUUCGGGGGACAAAGUGACAGGUGGUGCAUGGUUGUCGUCAGCUCGUGUCGUGAGAUGUUGGGUUAAGUCCCGCAACGAGCGCAACCCUUAAGCUUAGUUGCCAUCAUUAAGUUGGGCACUCUAAGUUGACUGCCGGUGACAAACCGGAGGAAGGUGGGGAUGACGUCAAAUCAUCAUGCCCCUUAUGAUUUGGGCUACACACGUGCUACAAUGGACAAUACAAAGGGCAGCGAAACCGCGAGGUCAAGCAAAUCCCAUAAAGUUGUUCUCAGUUCGGAUUGUAGUCUGCAACUCGACUACAUGAAGCUGGAAUCGCUAGUAAUCGUAGAUCAGCAUGCUACGGUGAAUACGUUCCCGGGUCU